rnacentral:rRNA from 1 species
AUGGGCAAGGCGGCGAGGUGGCUGCGCGGCCUGCUGGGCGGCGGCGGGAAGAAGGAGCAGGGGAAGGAGCAUAGGCGGCCGGCCACGUCCACGGCGCCGCACGGGGACAGGAAGCGCUGGAGCUUCUGCAAGUCCACCAGGGACUCAGCCGAGGCGGAGGCGGCGGCCGCGGCCGCCGCGCUCAGCGGCAACGCGGCGAUCGCGCGGGCGGCCGAGGCGGCGUGGCUCAAGUCCUUGUACAACGAGACCGAGCGGGAGCAGAGCAAGCACGCCAUCGCCGUCGCCGCGGCCACCGCGGCGGCGGCCGACGCUGCCGUGGCCGCGGCGCAGGCCGCCGUGGAGGUCGUGCGGCUCACCAGCAAAGGGCCGACGUCGACGGUGCUCGCCGUCGCCGUCGCGGAGCCCCGUGGCCGCGCCUCCGCCGCGGUCAAGAUCCAGACAGCGUUCCGUGGCUUCCUGGCCAAGAAGGCUCUGCGCGCGCUCAAGGGGCUGGUGAAGCUGCAGGCGCUCGUGCGCGGCUACCUGGUGCGCAAGCAGGCGGCGGCCACGCUGCAGAGCAUGCAGGCGCUCGUCCGCGCGCAGGCCUGCAUCCGCGCCGCCCGCUCGCGCGCCGCCGCGCUCCCCACGAACCUUCGCGUCCACCCCACUCCUGUCCGGCCGCGCUACUCGCUGCAAGAGCGGUACAGCACCACUGAGGAUUCCCGGAGCGACCACAGCGUGGCGCCGUACUACAGCCGCCGGCUGUCGGCGAGCGUGGAGUCGUCGUCGUGCCACGGGUACGACCGGAGCCCCAAGAUCGUGGAGAUGGACACCGGCCGGCCCAAGUCGCGCUCCUCCUCGCUCCGGACGACCUCCCCCGGCGCCAGCGAGGAGUGCUACGCCCACUCGGUGUCGUCGCCGCUCAUGCCGUGCCGGGCGCCCCCGCGGAUCGCCGCGCCGACCGCGCGCCACUUCCCGGAGUACGAGUGGUGCGAGAAGGCCCGGCCGGCGACGGCGCAGAGCACGCCCCGGUACGCGAGCUACGCGCCCGUCACGCCGACCAAGAGCGCGUGCGGCGGCUACACCUACAGCAACAGCCCGUCGACGCUCAACUGCCCCAGCUACAUGUCGGGCACGCAGUCGUCCGUGGCGAAGGUGCGGUCGCAGAGCGCGCCGAAGCAGCGGCCGGAGGAGGGCGCGGUGCGGAAGAGGGUGCCGCUGAGCGAGGUGAUCAUCCUGCAGGAGGGCCGGGCGAGCCUGAGCGGCGGCACGCAGAGGUCGUGCAACCGGCCGGCGCAGGAGGAGGCGUUCAGCUUCAAGAAGGCCGUGGUGAGCCGCUUCGACCGCUCGUCGGAGGCGGCCGAGAGGGAACGGGACCGGGACCUGUUCCUGCAGAAGGGAUGGUGA